GAUCCUGGCUCAGGACGAACGCUGGCGGCGUGCCUAAUACAUGCAAGUCGAACGAGAGCGACCGGUGCUUGCACUGGUCAAUCUAGUGGCGAACGGGUGAGUAACACGUGGGUAACCUGCCCAUCAGAGGGGGAUAACAUUCGGAAACGGAUGCUAAAACCGCAUAGGUUCUUAAGUCGCAUGACUCGAGAAGGAAAAGAGGCUUCGGCUUCUGCUGAUGGAUGGACCCGCGGUGCAUUAG
rnacentral:rRNA from 1 species